GUGAGGAAUAUUGGUCAAUGGGCGGGAGCCUGAACCAGCCAAGUCGCGUGAAGGAAGAAGGAUCUAUGGUUCGUAAACUUCUUUUGCAGGGGAAUAAAGUGCAGGACGUGUCCUGUUUUGUAUGUACCCUGAGAAUAAGGAUCGGCUAACUCCGUGCCAGCAGCCGCGGUAAUACGGAGGAUCCGAGCGUUAUCCGGCUUUAUUGGGUUUAACGGGUGCGUAGGUGGUUUGAUAAGUCAGCGGUGACAGUUUGCAGCUUAACUGUAAAAAUGCCGUUGAAACUGUCGGACUUGAGUGUAAAUGAGGUAGGCGGAAUGCGUGGUGUAGCGGUGAAAUGCAUAGAUAUCACGCAGAACUCCGAUUGCGAAGGCAGCUUACUAAGCUACAACUGACACUGAAGCACGAAAGCGUGGGGAUCAAACAGGAUUAGAAACCCGGGUAGUCC
rnacentral:rRNA from 1 species